rnacentral:rRNA from 1 species
GACGAACGCUGGCGGCGUGCUUAACACAUGCAAGUCGUACGACAGCAUUUCCUUUAGGUUGUGUUUGGAGUGGCGAACGGGUGAGUAACACGUGAGUGACCUGCCCUUCACUUUGGGAUAACGUGCGGAAACGUGCGCUAAUACCAAAUAUUCGCAUUUCUGCUGCAUGGGUGGGGUGUGGAAAGGGGUCGUUCGGGUUCUGGUGGGGAGUGGGCUCGCGCCGUACUCUAGC